rnacentral:rRNA from 1 species
AUUGAACGCUGGCGGCAGGCCUAACACAUGCAAGUCGAGCGGAUGAGGGGAGCUUGCUCCCUGAUUUAGCGGCGGACGGGUGAGUAGUGCCUAGGAAUCUGCCUGGUAGUGGGGGAUAACGUUCCGAAAGGAACGCUAAUACCGCAUACGUCCUACGGGAGAAAGCAGGGGACCUUCGGGCCUUGCGCUAUCAGAUGAGCCUAGGUCGGAUUAGCUAGUUGGUGAGGUAAUGGCUCACCAAGGCGACGAUCCGUAACUGGUCUGAGAGGAUGAUCAGUCACACUGGAACUGAGACACGGUCCAGACUCCUACGGGAGGCAGCAGUGGGGAAUAUUGGACAAUGGGCGAAAGCCUGAUCCAGCCAUGCCGCGUGUGUGAAGAAGGUCUUCGGAUUGUAAAGCACUUUAAGUUGGGAGGAAGGGCUGCUGGUUAAUACCCUGCAGUUUUGACGUUACCAACAGAAUAAGCACCGGCUAACUUCGUG